GAAUCUAGCUCCCGUUAUAAAAAUGGAAUCGGGAAGAACAUUUACGAUCGGGCUAUUUAGCGAUGACGAUGCGAGGUAGCCAGCCGAUUCAUUUAAAAAGAAUCCGCUAUGUUUGGGGACCAAAACAAAGCUGACUUUCUACAAAUUAUGUGGGACAAGAGUCGAAAAUAUAUUCGACAGGUGUAACCGGUUGUUAGAAGUUAGAUGUGAACAAGCCGAAAGCGCGUCAGUGACAAGGAAUUCCAAGGAAUAUAGGAGUGUACUCGGCGAGAGAGUGAACAAAAGACCAGUUAAGCUGAUUUGGAGAGAUGCCAACACCAGGCUUCUCUAAAUUUUGCGUUGCGUCCGUUGAAAUCAAGUGAGACGGAAGUUGAUUGCGAUGAUCUUGAAGGAGACCAAGUAUGUGCCCAGGAAGAAGUUUUGCACGUUUUGAAAAAAAAUAUGUCAAAAAUCGGUCUUACCUUGAACGAAUAGGAUUUUGGAGAAAUUGGGUUCGGUAGAUGAACUUAGCUUUAAUAACAGCCACUGAACAAAAACGGCUUGUGGCUGUCGGUAACGCCGCCGACCUGUCAUGAAAAGUAAUUAGGGAGAAUUUAUGAAAAAGGGCUUGAAAUUAUGUUUAUUUCCAUAUUAUACACAAGUAACAAACACUUGUCGAACCAAAGGCUAUAGUUGAAGGUCCAAUAAAUAAAUAUAAUGGAAAUCCUAGCACAGCAAGGAAUAAAGAGCAGUAGUAGUUGUAUAUACAAGGUUGUUGAUAACUUCACAAAUGGGAGAGGGAUGUGUCGUAAACUUCAGGAAGGUCAGGAUGGUAAGUUGCUUAAAUCUGGAUCCCAGGCUCCAGAUAAAGCACAUUGUUAGCCACUAAACUUUGCAGCCCAAGGCAGAGGCGUAGCGCAUGCCUUUCCAGUACUAUUAAAGGUCCUAGCUUCUGUGCUGCACAUCCUGGAAAAAGAAAAA